rnacentral:rRNA from 1 species
AAUCCAUAGGUUAAUGAGGCGAACCGGGGGAACUGAAACAUCUAAGUACCCCGAGGAAAAGAAAUCAACCGAGAUUCCCCCAGUAGCGGCGAGCGAACGGGGAGGAGCCCAGAGCCUGAAUCAGCAUGUGUGUUAGUGGAAGCGUCUGGAAAGGCGCGCGAUACAGGGUGACAGCCCCGUACACAAAAGCGCAUGUGCUGUGAGCUCGAUGAGUAGGGCGGGACACGUGGUAUCCUGUCUGAAUAUGGGGGGACCAUCCUCCAAGGCUAAAUACUCCUGACUGACCGAUAGUGAACCAGUACCGUGAGGGAAAGGCGAAAAGAACCCCGGCGAGGGGAGUGAAAAAGAACCUGAAACCGUGUACGUACAAGCAGUGGGAGCACAGGUUUACCUGUGUGACUGCGUACCUUUUGUAUAAUGGGUCAGCGACUUAUAUUCUGUAGCAAGGUUAACCGAAUAGGGGAGCCGGAGGGAAACCGAGUCUUAAUUGGGCGUUAAGUUGCAGGGUAUAGACCCGAAACCCGGUGAUCUAGCCAUGGGCAGGUUGAAGGUUGGGUAACACUAACUGGAGGACCGAACCGACUAAUGUUGAAAAAUUAGCGGAUGACCUGUGGCUGGGGGUGAAAGGCCAAUCAAACCGGGAGAUAGCUGGUUCUCCCCGAAAGCUAUUUAGGUAGCGCCUCGUGAAUUCAUCUCCGGGGGUAGAGCACUGUUUCGGCUAGGGGGCCAUCCCGGCUUACCAACCCGAUGCAAACUGCGAAUACCGGAGAAUGUUAUCACGGGAGACACACGGCGGGUGCUAACGUCCGUCGUGAAGAGGGAAACAACCCAGACCGCCAGCUAAGGUCCCAAAGUCAUGGUUAAGUGGGAAACGAUGUGGGAAGGCCCAGACAGCCAGGAUGUUGGCUUAGAAGCAGCCAUCAUUUAAAGAAAGCGUAAUAGCUCACUGGUCGAGUCGGCCUGCGCGGAAGAUGUAACGGGGCUAAACCAUGCACCGAAGCUGCGGCAGCGAACGUAUCACUUAAAGCGAUUCAGCGGGUUACGAUUGACGGAGCGAAGCGACGUCAAAGCGUAUACAAAGUCGAGUCGGUUUAAGGAUACGUUCGUUGGGUAGGGGAGCGUUCUGUAAGCCUGUGAAGGUGUGUCGUGAGGCAUGCUGGAGGUAUCAGAAGUGCGAAUGCUGACAUAAGUAACGAUAAAGCGGGUGAAAAGCCCGCUCGCCGGAAGACCAAGGGUUCCUGUCCAACGUUAAUCGGGGCAGG